rnacentral:lncRNA from 1 species
GUCUGGAUCAAGUACAGGGCUGGCUUUCCAGGGUGGAAGCCAUGGAAACUGAAGUCGGUCAACUGAUUGGAGAUGGAGCGGAGACCAUUGAGGAGAAACGAUUACGUGGUUGUUGCCAUCCCAAGCAUUGCAUCUCCAGCUACACGUUGGGAAAAAAAGUUGUCAGGAAGCUACAAGAUAUGGCUACUCUAAUGAGCGAAGGACGUAAUUUUGAGGUGGUGGCUGAUAUUGUACCUCCAGCUCCUGUGGACGAAAUACCCGGCCGACCCACUGUGGGCUUGGAAUCAACAUUUGACAAAGUUUGGAGGAGUCUCGAAGAAGAACAUGUAGGGAUGAUCGGCUUAUAUGGGUUGGGGGGCAUUGGGAAG